rnacentral:rRNA from 1 species
AUAUCAUUAAGCGGAGGAGAAGAAAUUAACUAAGAUUGCCUCAGUAACGGCGAGUGAAGCGGCAAAAGCCCAAAAUGUAAAUCUAGUUCUUUCAGAACUCGAAUUGUAAUCUAGAGAGGAUUCGCUCAACGGGCGGUGACGCAGAAGUGACCACGAACGGUCCGCCAGAGAGGGUGGAAGCCCCGUAUGUGGUGUCGCUGCUUAACGAGUGGGUUUUCGAAGAGUCGGGUUGUUUUGUAUUGCAGCCCUAAGUGGGAGAUAAACUUCUUCUAAGGCUAAAUAUAUAUGGGAGACCGAUAGCGCACAAGUA